GGACUUAAGUCACACUUUCUGAGCGGAAAUUCUGAUGAAGAAAGGAAGAAGCUGGUGGUUGCAAUGAAGACACACUGCAGUGCAGCUUGAAGUGUGCUUGCCUUGGCAACAGGAAGAAGGACAUUCGUGCUCCCCUCUUCUCACUCUCACCCAUCUCUGCUUUUGGUUUCCUCUUGACUGCGAUUUCACAUUUUGAAACAAAUGGACUCACCUCAGCCUGCUUAAGGAUAUUGAAUUUCCCUCUUGGGGAAUGUCAGGCCCUGAACCAAAGAUCAUAAAUGAUGGUUGGUUUCUAGUUUACAAAACACAUCCAACUGCACUGCAUGUGGACCUGGUCCCGUUCUGAUUCCUCUGGAUGUACAUCUCUCAGCUCCUUCUGCAGCACCAUGCCUGCCUGGAUGUUGCUGAGCUUCCAGUGAUGAUAAUGAACUGAACCUCUGACACUGUAAGCCAACCCUAUCAUGUUUUCCUUUAUAAAAUUUUCCUUGGUCAUGCUAUUUCUUCAC